UUCGCAAUGCCCGAAAGGGUGACGAAGCGACGCCGCGUGUGGGAAGAAGGCUCUAGGGUUGUAAACCACUGUCAGGAGUUAAGAAAUGUAAGGUGUUAAUACCGCAUUUAUUUGACGAAGGCUCCAAAGGAAGCCACGGCUAACUCUGUGCCAGCAGCCGCGGUAAUACAGAGGUGGCAAGCGUUGUUCGGAAUUAUUGGGCGUAAAGAGCACGUAGGUGGGUUUGUAAGUCAGAUGUGAAAGCCUUCUGUUCAAAGGAAGAACGGCAUCUGAAACUACAGAUCUUGAGUGUAGGAGGGGAGAGUGGAACUUCUGGUGGAGCGGUGAAAUGCGUAGAUAUCAGAAGGAACGUCGGCGGCGAAAGCGACUCUCUGGCCCGAAACUGACGCUGAGUGUGCGAAAGCUAGGGGAGCAAACGGGAUUAGAUACCCCGGUAGUCCUAGCCGUAAACGAUGGGCACUAAGUAGAGGGGUUUU
rnacentral:rRNA from 1 species